rnacentral:rRNA from 1 species
UCAAGCAAGAAAGAGCACAAGGAGAAUGCCUUGGCACUAGGAGCCGAUGAAAGACGUGGUAAGCUGCGAAAAGCUUCGGGGAGGCGCAAACAGCCAUCGAUCCGGAGAUAUCUGAAUGGGGAAACCUACUUGAGCAAACCUCAAGUAUCCAUGCGUGAAUCCAUAGCGUAUGGAAGGGAACGCUGUGAACUGAAACAUCUAAGUAGCAGUAGGAGGAGAAAGAAAACUCGAUUUCCUAAGUAGCGGCGAGCGAACGGGAAAGAGGCCAAACCGAAGGACCUGGUUCUUCGGGGUUGCGGACUGCAUUUAGCAUUGCUGAGAGAUAGACGAAUGGUUUUGGGAAAGCCAGCCGUAGACGGUGAAAGCCCGGUAGACGAAAUCUUGAAGCAGCGAGCAGGAUCCAGAGUACCACGAGACACGAGAAACCUUGUGGGAAGCCGGGGGGACCACCCCCCAAGCCUAAAUACUCCCUAGUGACCGAUAGUGAAGCAGUACUGUGAAGGAAAGGUGAAAAGGACCCCGGGAGGGGAGUGAAAGAGAACCUGAAACCUUGUGCUUACAAACAGUCAAAGGUCUACGGACUGAUGGCGUACUUUUUGUAGAACGGUCCGGCGAGUUACUAAUGCCAGCGAGGUUAAGUGGUCAGAAGCCACGGAGCCGAAGGGAAACCAAGUCUGAAUAGGGCGUAGAGUUGGUAUUAGUAGACCCGAAACCGGGUGACCUAUCCAUGUCCAGGUUGAAGGAACCGUAAAAGGUUUUGGAGGACCGAACACACAUGUGUUGAAAAACGUGGUGAUGAGGUGUGGAUAGCGGAGAAAUUCCAAUCGAACUCGGAGAUAGCUGGUUCUCCUCGAAAUAGCUUUAGGGCUAGCCUCGAGCUGGAGUCUAACGGAGGUAAAGCACUGAACUGACGCGGGGCCCAAAAAGGUUACCAACUCAUAUCAAACUAAGAAUGCCGUCAAGAUACCCUCGGGAGUCAGUCUGCGUGAGAUAAGUCGCGUGGACAAAAGGGAAAGAGCCCAGACCGACAGCUAAGGUCCCAAAGUACGUGUUAAGUGGAAAAGGAUGUGGGAUUUCAUAGACAACUAGGAUGUUGGCUUAGAAGCAGCCAUACAUUUAAAGAGUGCGUAAUAGCUCACUAGUCGAGAAAACCUGCGCCGAAAAUGUAACGGGGCUAAAACACGACACCGAAGCUACGGAUUUCCUACUAGGUAGGAAGUGGUAGAGGAGCAUCCUGCAAGGACGAAGCCAAAGUGAGAGCGAUGGUGGACGAAACAGGAGAGAGAAUGCCGGAAUGAGUAGCGAGAUACAUGUGAGAAACAUGUAGGCCGAAUAUCUAAGGAUUCCUGGGUAAAGCUAAUCUUCCCAGGGUUAGUCGGGGCCUAAGGCGAGGACGAGAGUCGUAGUCGAUGGAUAACAGGUUGAUAUUCCUGUACUACACAUAAUCAGAACUGUGGGGACGCAGGAGGAUAGGGAAACCGGGGAAUGGAAAGACCCGGUCAAGCGCAAAGCUGUGGGAGAUAGGCAAAUCCGUCUCUUGUAAGUGAAGCGUGAUGAGGACUGAAAAAAAGUAAGGAAGUUUCCGAAUCCACACUGCCGAGAAAAGCCGCUAUUGCGUUAUGUGUACCCGUACCGUAAACCGACACAGGUAGAUGAGGAGAAAAUCCACAGGCCGACGGGAGAAGUGUUGUUAAGGAACUCGGCAAAAUGACCCCGUAACUUCGGGAUAAGGGGAGCCUCGCAAGAGGCCGCAGAAAAGAGGCACAAGCAACUGUUUAGCAAAAACAUAGGUCUAUGCGAAACCGUAAGGUGAAGUAUAUGGGCUGACGCCUGCCCGGUGCUGGAAGGUUAAAAGGAGAGGUCAGCGCAAGCGAAGCUUUGAAUUCAAGCCCCAGUAAACGGCGGCCGUAACUAUAACGGUCCUAAGGUAGCGAAAUUCCUUGUCAGGUAAGUUCUGACCCGC